rnacentral:rRNA from 1 species
CCUACGGGAGGCUGCAGUGGGGAAUAUUGGACAAUGGGCGAAAGCCUGAUCCAGCCAUGCCGCGUGUGUGAAGAAGGCCUUCGGGUUGUAAAGCACUUUCAGUGGGGAAGAAAGCCUUGGGGCUAAUACCCUCGAGGAAGGACAUCACCCACAGAAGAAGCACCAGCUAACUCCGUGCCAGCAGCCGCGGUAAUACGGAGGGUGCGAGCGUUAAUCGGAAUUACUGGGCGUAAAGCGCGCGUAGGCGGUCUGAUAAGCCGGUUGUGAAAGCCCCGGGCUCAACCUGGGAACGGCAUCCGGAACUGUCAGGCUAGAGUGCAGGAGAGGAAGGUAGAAUUCCCGGUGUAGCGGUGAAAUGCGUAGAGAUCGGGAGGAAUACCAGUGGCGAAGGCGGCCUUCUGGACUGACACUGACGCUGAGGUGCGAAAGCGUGGGUAGCAAACAGGAUUAGAUACCCCUGUAGUC